rnacentral:antisense_RNA from 1 species
CAAUUACUCUAAUGAUUAAGAGCACUGAACAAACUGAUCACCAAUAUAAGGGCUGGCCUUCAGGUAGAAAGUGUGCCUUCCCUCUGUAUGUAGUUCAUGGUCUCUAGGUAUGAGGAGUAUUGGGGGAAAAUAAAUAUAAAUUACAUAUAUGUAUUUACAUGUGCAUAAAUAUAAAUAUAUGUAUAUAUGGAGAGAGAGAAAGAGUAUAUAUAGGUAUAUAUGUGUGCAUGUGUCUGUAUGUGUAUAAAAUGAGGCUCUUCUUCAAUACCUACCUAUACUCCUUAAUAACCUCUAUUUCUCCCUUGACCUACCUCACACCUUCCACAUGACUCAAGGUUCAUUAUCUUUGACUUUAUAAUUUUCUGUGUGUGUGGGUGUGUCAAAAACAUAUACAGCUAUAAAGAAACAUCCACACCUCCUUACCACUGUAUUUUGAGUUGUACUCAUGUUUAUAUGUCAGUCUCAGUUUAUUGUGUUCACCUUUGUCUAUACAGAAUUUAUUGCCCACUCUCUUUUCAUGGUCUGACGUCAAUAAAGUUCCCUCUUCACCC